GGAAAGGUGGCUGAGAGGCCGAAAGCACCACACUGCUAACGUGGCAGGGUUUAACCGCCCUCGAGGGUUCGAAUCCCUCCCUUUCCG
rnacentral:tRNA from 1 species